UCCUGGCUCAGAUUGAACGCUGGCGGCAGGCCUAAUACAUGCAAGUCGAACGGUAACAUAAAAGAAGCUUGCUCUUUUGAUGACGAGUGGCGGACGGGUGAGUAAUGCGUGAGCAACCUGCCUUUCAGAGGGGGACAACAGUUGGAAACGACUGCUAAUACCGCAUGACAUAUUUGGAUCGCAUGAUCUGGAUAUCAAAGAUUUAUCGCUGAAAGAUGGGCUCACGUCUGAUUAGUUAGUUGGUGAGGUAACGGCUCACCAAGACUGCGAUCAGUAGCCGGACUGAGAGGUUGAACGGCCACAUUGGGACUGAGAUACGGCCCAGACUCCUACGGGAGGCAGCAGUGGGGAAUAUUGGGCAAUGGGCGCAAGCCUGACCAGCAACGCCGCGUGAAGGAAGAAGGCUUUCGGGUUGUAAACUUCUUUUGUCAGGGACGAGUAGAAGACGGUACCUGACGAAUAAGCCACGGCUAACUACGUG
rnacentral:rRNA from 1 species